rnacentral:rRNA from 1 species
UACGAAGGACCCGAGCGUUAUCCGGAUUUAUUGGGUUUAAAGGGUGCGUAGGCGGGUUAUUAAGUCAGUGGUGAAAGCCUACAGCUUAACUGUAGAACUGCCAUUGAUACUGAUAAUCUUGAGUAUGAUUGAGGUGGGCGGAAUGUGUCAUGUAGCGGUGAAAUGCUUAGAUAUGACACAGAACACCGAUUGCGAAGGCAGCUCACUAAGCCAUAACUGACGCUGAUGCACGAAAGCGUGGGGAGCAAACAGG